AAAGGGGAAAGAUUUGACUGAUUGCAACCCCUGUAAUUUAAAAAAUGCUAAAAU
rnacentral:ncRNA from 1 species